CGUAGGUCCCUCGGGGGGGGGGUCACUGGGAGUGUAAAUUCAAAAAGCAGACUGAAUUAGGCUCCUGUGUAUAUUCGAAAAACGGUUUUUCUUGAAUAACUCGGCCAUUUUUGAUUUUACAGUAAAACUGUGGGAACCAAAAUUGUUCAGAAUUUGAUUCUCUACAAGUUUAGUCCUCUUCAUUUAUGCCGUAAAGUUGAAAAUAAACGAGAUGAUGAAAAUAUUUUUAAUUUGUCGCUUUUUUCAAAUUUAAUUUCCAAAAUAUCGAUCCUAGAAGAAAAAUUGUGAGGACCAAACUUGUAGAGAAUCAAAUUUUCUACAAUUUUUGUCCUCACGGUUUUACUGUAAAAUCAAAAAUGGCCGAGUUAUUCAAGAAAAACCGUUU